AUUCUGAAGCCAGUCCGCAGACAGCACCCAGCACAGCAACACUCUUGAUAACUGAGCUUGGCAGCACCUAUGCCCCACGGCACCUGAAUGGGGACAGCUUGACAAGUGCCGGGUGCUUUUUGGAUCCAGGAAACAGAGGGAGCCUCUGGCCUCCAGGUUCAGAGCAUGGCAAGAGGUCUGAGUCUCGAUUCAGUCUUCAGUUAGCACUCGUACUGCGCCUGCGUGGGAGCGGAUGGCACCGGAGAGACCUCUGUGGAGAACGGACCGAUGAGGCAGCGGUGACAGGAGCAACGUGGGCUGCAGUCCAGGAGUCUCUGACUUAUGAAGGAGCCGCGAGAGGACCAUGAGAGGAUGUACCCGAUCUACGGAAAUGCCAUCUACAGGGAACUGCAGGCCAGGUCAAGGUGAUGAACGUCCUUAAAUUGUUAAUAAAUCAAUAAUCAUUUUUAUUAUGA
rnacentral:lncRNA from 1 species